rnacentral:misc_RNA from 1 species
AUCAAAAGAUAGGAAUUCAUUGUAGGCAAAAAAAAGCCUAAGCCUCGUACAUAAAUACUAGUCAGUCCUGAGAGGCUCUUGGCUUCAAUCAACACAGAGCCCCUCAUGCCUCCAAUCCAUGGUUCAUAAGCUCUGCAUGCACAGAAAAACACAAGAAGAAACCCAUAACUAAAGAAAAUGCAAAUCUAAAGAAACUCUCUUGUAGAAGCCCAAUCUGUCGCAAAUUAACUCAAAAUAAAAGCUAUGCACACCCACCUGAAUACCCG